rnacentral:rRNA from 1 species
AAGAGACAGCAGCAGCCGCGGUAAUACGGAGGGUGCAAGCGUUAAUCGGAAUUACUGGGCGUAAAGCGCACGCAGGCGGUCUGACAAGUCAGAUGUGAAAUCCCCGGGCUUAACCUGGGAACUGCAUUUGAAACUGUCAGGCUGGAGUCUUGUAGAGGGGGGUGGAAUUCCAGGUGUAGCGGUGAAAUGCGUAGAGAUCUGGAGGAAUACCGGUGGCGAAGGCGGCCCCCUGGACAAAGACUGACGCUCAGGUGCGAAAGCGUGGGGAGCAAACAGGAUUAGAUACCCCUGUAGUCCCUGUCUCUUAUAC